UACGUAGGGGGCAAGCGUUGUCCGGAAUCAUUGGGCGUAAAGAGCGUGUAGGCGGCCCGGUAAGUCCGCUGUGAAAGUCCAGGGCUCAACCCUGGGAUGCGGGUGGAUACUGUCGGGCUCGAGUCCGGAAGAGGCGAGUGGAAUUCCUGGUGUAGCGGUGAAAUGCGCAGAUAUCAGGAGGAACACCAACAGCGAAGGCAGAUCUCUGGACGUAACUGACGCUGAGACGCGAAAGCGUGGGAGCAACAGG
rnacentral:rRNA from 1 species